CCCUCUGCCAGCCCUGCCCACCCUCACAGGGAGGAAAUUCUUCCAUAUGUUGGCACUCAGUAUUAUUUAUCCAAUAUCCAGAAUCUAUUUUCCCAAGAACAUGAGGGUUAAACUACAGAAUAAUCUUCCAAGAGGUGACAACCUCACCGUGUAAAACAUUUAAAGUGAGAUAAAUGUCUUUGUAGAGAGCAAUGCUGUGUGUGAGGGAGGAGGAGACGAGAUGGCUCUGCAAUUUCUGAAUGCACUUGGAGUUUACAUGUGAGACCAAAUGAAGGAGAUUGAACCCAAACCCAAGUAAAGCACCAAGAAAUAUUCCAAUGGAAUAUUCAGGGAGCUUCUGUCAUGUGUUAAGAGCAGGUGGGUGUCCCUAGGAUGGAUUAUCUGUGAUCUCAAGGGCUGCUCACUGCUGAGAGUGACUCUGAGUUUCUUGCAUGUUAAGGACUCUGAGAGUAAAACUCUCCAAAGUCUUUCAAGUGACCAGAUUGUUAUAAAAUUGUUAUAAAAUCCAUGACUCAGUGGCGCCUUUCCUCCUGUCCUCGUAGUGUCGACCGCCCUUUAUGCUAUGUUAGCAACUCAUAUGUUUUGAUCCAGUAUAAUCCAAAUGUAUUUAGUCUGUAUUUUAUUCCACUUUGUAAACACGUUUUUUCCAUAGCUGCAAAUGUCUCCACAAUUAUUUGUUUCAAUUUGUAAAUUGAACAAAAGGCUUUAAUAAACAAUGUCCUCAGGCCUCCUCUCGUCUUCUUCUCAUGAAGAAACUUGAUUUCUAAACCCAGCAGCCUGUAAACUCCUUAGAAAUUCAAAGGGAAAACUCCCACCAUUUUACCCAGCUUGGCCAUUUAGAAGCUCAGAGCACUUCUUGCCGUGAAUAAACUCUGUGGCUGAGUUUGUAAAUAAAGUUUGGGAUGACAAGUUGGUAUUUUGGAGCCUGCUGCUGGUGGCACUGCUCUCAUCCAGUGGCACCACGUGUGACAGUCAGAAGUUGUUGGAGGAGACUACAAGGCACUUUAUUGCUUGAUUCACUGUUGAGCUAUACUCUGUAGCUGACCAGAAUGUUUGAUUUUAUACUUUGGAUUUCUGCUUAUGGCUGCUAAGCUGUCAUUAGACAAAUAUAAACUCCAUCAAGCAGCUCCUGGCUACGGAUCCUGUAAACUGGGGAGCUCGGACUGGGAUCACCAGGAGAAGCAAAACUGCAAACUCUGCCGAAAAUUCCAACUUCUUGUAGCAUCUCCAGUCCACAGCUGUUUCCCUGCAUUUUAGCAGUGGCUGAGACAGCCUUUAGCUUCCCUAGAUCCCAAAGAAUUUGAGCUGGAGAAUUCCUGAUUCAUGUUGUUUAAAUCACUUAUAUAAAAGUGUACGAUGCACUUACUCAUGUGUGUUGAUAACAUACACACACCCAUUCAUAGGCAGGGAUUCAAUCUCCAAACAUUGGAGUGGUUACAAAAGAAAGUAAAUCUUGUGCUGGUUCAGCUCAUCUCAGGAUGAGGAUGGAGGAUUUUGGGAGGGAGAAAAUAAGAACAGCCAAAGCCCAAACAGAACUUAAUGUGGCUGCUGUUGUAAAAGACACAAAAAAUGCUUCUGCAAAUCCAUCACCAACGAAAGGAGGAUGUGAAGGAGAAUCUCCAUCCUUUAUUCAGUUCAAAACUGAUUUUCAGGAGGAAGGUGCUGGGGUUUUGCUGUCAGAUCACUAGCUGGCUUUCCAAUCUUUAUUCAAUCUCUCUCCUUGGUACCUGUUGCAGACACACUGAGUUUCAGUGUUAUUUAUCUGCCCAUGUUGGUUUUUCUGGCAACAGAGGAGGGGUGGGAUUGUUUAUUCUCUUGCUUUUAUUUUUAAUCUUUUUUUACCAUCCUUUCCUUGGAGAUGGAACUGGUAAUAUAUAAUAUUACAUCCGUGGUUCCCUGCUAGGUGAUACUGUCUUUCUCACAAGUCUUUUGCUCAUUUUGUGCAAAAUAAUGGCCUGUGAGGUUUUUGUUUUGGCUUUGGCCAGAUUCUUCUCCCAUUGACUUCAUUGUUAGUGCUAAUAAAACCAUGGGAAAUGUUUUGAUGGCUAGGAGAUUGCAGGGACUUGAGGUUUAAGCUUUGAUACUGUAUUGGCUGCUGCACAUAAUCUUUGGUAAACCAAAGAUAAAGAGCAAAGCUUGUUUUAGAAAGCCACGGGCUUUUCAGAAUGACGCUUGGCAAAUUUUGGUCCUCACUUUGUCAACUAUUUGCCCACAUAUCAGUAGUUUUGUGCCUGUGUUUACACUCGUUUUGCCUCCGGGCUUGUUUUAGUAAGUUGGAUAAAGUGUUUAUUAUGUGGGUUGCAAAAUAUGUUCCUAAUGGUGACCUAACCCGUGGUGCCACAGAGACUGGGGGCUGUUGGGAUCUCCUGUUGUGCAACAGAGAGUGGGGCAGGUAACCACAAGCCAGCCUUGGCCACCCUUUAGGGAGCCUGCAUGGUUGUGGCAGGGCAGGACUUGGCUUUCUGCUCCCUCAGCGUUCCCCGUUUGCUUGGCUUGGCUGGAGCCUCCUGGCAGGCUCUGCUCGAGUCUCUUCCACUGCCCAGAGCCUCCCCUCGUGAAGAAUUGGUGCAAAUUGCAGCAGCUCCAGGGGCUGGGAUUGGAAUCCCAGCAGUGUCGAGGCAGCUUGUGGUGCCCGUUCUCUUGGCAGGUUGUUUGGGGAAAGCUGGUGGGGAAAGG